rnacentral:tRNA from 1 species
GGGGGUAUAGCUCAGUUGGUUAGAGCGCAUCGCUGAUAACGAUGAGGUCCCAGGUUCGAAUCCUGGUACCCCCA